GCAAAGGCCAUGAACGGGAGGAGUAGCCCUGUUUCCCCGGCCAAGAGAGAGGGCGGUUCGGUGCGAGCCCUCCCGGGGGACGGAGGGGAAGGCGCCCGGGAGCCGCGGGGCGGAAAUGCUUCGCCGUUCACCCGACGUUACCGGGCAGAGCGUCCCCCUCCCCGGGGGAAAUUCAGGUGGAACCACGGACGCAAGUUCGCCCUGAGC
rnacentral:ncRNA from 1 species